GGUUAAGCGACUAAGCGUACACGGUGGAUGCCCUGGCAGUCAGAGGCGAUGAAGGGCGUGCUAAUCUGCGAUAAGCGCCGGUAAGGUGAUAUGAACCGUUAUAACCGGCGAUACCCGAAUGGGGAAACCCAGUGUGACUCGUCACACUAUCAUUAACUGAAUCCAUAGGUUAAUGAGGCGAACCGGGGGAACUGAAACAUCUAAGUACCCCGAGGAAAAGAAAUCAACCGAGAUUCCCCCAGUAGCGGCGAGCGAACGGGGAGGAGCCCAGAGCCUGAAUCAGCAUGUGUGUUAGUGGAAGCGUCUGGAAAGGCGCGCGAUACAGGGUGACAGCCCCGUACACAAAAGCGCAUGUGCUGUGAGCUCGAUGAGUAGGGCGGGACACGUGGUAUCCUGUCUGAAUAUGGGGGGACCAUCCUCCAAGGCUAAAUACUCCUGACUGACCGAUAGUGAACCAGUACCGUGAGGGAAAGGCGAAAAGAACCCCGGCGAGGGGAGUGAAAAAGAACCUGAAACCGUGUACGUACAAGCAGUGGGAGCCCCACCACCAAAGCAUUCUCUGGUGUUGAAGGCCCUGCAAAGCAGCAUCGCGGUGGCGGAGCGUCGUUUGCGACGCCCAACACACAAAACAAGCGGUGAAUGCUUUGGGGUGGGGUGACUGCGUACCUUUUGUAUAAUGGGUCAGCGACUUAUAUUCUGUAGCAAGGUUAACCGAAUAGGGGAGCCGGAGGGAAACCGAGUCUUAAUUGGGCGUUAAGUUGCAGGGUAUAGACCCGAAACCCGGUGAUCUAGCCAUGGGCAGGUUGAAGGUUGGGUAACACUAACUGGAGGACCGAACCGACUAAUGUUGAAAAAUUAGCGGAUGACCUGUGGCUGGGGGUGAAAGGCCAAUCAAACCGGGAGAUAGCUGGUUCUCCCCGAAAGCUAUUUAGGUAGCGCCUCGUGAAUUCAUCUCCGGGGGUAGAGCACUGUUUCGGCUAGGGGGCCAUCCCGGCUUACCAACCCGAUGCAAACUGCGAAUACCGGAGAAUGUUAUCACGGGAGACACACGGCGGGUGCUAACGUCCGUCGUGAAGAGGGAAACAACCCAGACCGCCAGCUAAGGUCCCAAAGUCAUGGUUAAGUGGGAAACGAUGUGGGAAGGCCCAGACAGCCAGGAUGUUGGCUUAGAAGCAGCCAUCAUUUAAAGAAAGCGUAAUAGCUCACUGGUCGAGUCGGCCUGCGCGGAAGAUGUAACGGGGCUAAACCAUGCACCGAAGCUGCGGCAGCGACGCUGAUGCGUUGUUGGGUAGGGGAGCGUUCUGUAAGCCUGCGAAGGUGACCUGUGAGGGUUGCUGGAGGUAUCAGAAGUGCGAAUGCUGACAUAAGUAACGAUAAAGCGGGUGAAAAGCCCGCUCGCCGGAAGACCAAGGGUUCCUGUCCAACGUUAAUCGGGGCAGGGUGAGUCGACCCCUAAGGCGAGGCCGAAAGGCGUAGUCGAUGGGAAACGGGUUAAUAUUCCCGUACUUGGUGUUACUGCGAAGGGGGGACGGAGAAGGCUAUGUUGGCCGGGCGACGGUUGUCCCGGUUUAAGCGUGUAGGUGUGUGUUCCAGGUAAAUCCGGUUCACUUUAACACUGAGGCGUGAUGACGAGGCACUACGGUGCUGAAGCAACAAAUGCCCUGCUUCCAGGAAAAGCCUCUAAGCAUCAGGUAACAUCAAAUCGUACCCCAAACCGACACAGGUGGUCAGGUAGAGAAUACCAAGGCGCUUGAGAGAACUCGGGUGAAGGAACUAGGCAAAAUGGUGCCGUAACUUCGGGAGAAGGCACGCUGACACGUAGGUGAAGUGAUUUACUCAUGGAGCUGAAGUCAGUCGAAGAUACCAGCUGGCUGCAACUGUUUAUUAAAAACACAGCACUGUGCAAACACGAAAGUGGACGUAUACGGUGUGACGCCUGCCCGGUGCCGGAAGGUUAAUUGAUGGGGUCAGCGCAAGCGAAGCUCCUGAUCGAAGCCCCGGUAAACGGCGGCCGUAACUAUAACGGUCCUAAGGUAGCGAAAUUCCUUGUCGGGUAAGUUCCGACCUGCACGAAUGGCGUAAUGAUGGCCAGGCUGUCUCCACCCGAGACUCAGUGAAAUUGAACUCGCUGUGAAGAUGCAGUGUACCCGCGGCAAGACGGAAAGACCCCGUGAACCUUUACUAUAGCUUGACACUGAACAUUGAGCCUUGAUGUGUAGGAUAGGUGGGAGGCUUUGAAGUGUGGACGCCAGUCUGCAUGGAGCCGACCUUGAAAUACCACCCUUUAAUGUUUGAUGUUCUAACGUGGACCCGUAAUCCGGGUUGCGGACAGUGUCUGGUGGGUAGUUUGACUGGGGCGGUCUCCUCCUAAAGAGUAACGGAGGAGCACGAAGGUUGGCUAAUCCUGGUCGGACAUCAGGAGGUUAGUGCAAUGGCAUAAGCCAGCUUGACUGCGAGCGUGACGGCGCGAGCAGGUGCGAAAGCAGGUCAUAGUGAUCCGGUGGUUCUGAAUGGAAGGGCCAUCGCUCAACGGAUAAAAGGUACUCCGGGGAUAACAGGCUGAUACCGCCCAAGAGUUCAUAUCGACGGCGGUGUUUGGCACCUCGAUGUCGGCUCAUCACAUCCUGGGGCUGAAGUAGGUCCCAAGGGUAUGGCUGUUCGCCAUUUAAAGUGGUACGCGAGCUGGGUUUAGAACGUCGUGAGACAGUUCGGUCCCUAUCUGCCGUGGGCGCUGGAGAACUGAGGGGGGCUGCUCCUAGUACGAGAGGACCGGAGUGGACGCAUCACUGGUGUUCGGGUUGUCAUGCCAAUGGCACUGCCCGGUAGCUAAAUGCGGAAGAGAUAAGUGCUGAAAGCAUCUAAGCACGAAACUUGCCCCGAGAUGAGUUCUCCCUGAGACUUUAGGUCUCCUGAAGGAACGUUGAAGACGACGACGUUGAUAGGCCGGGUGUGUAAGCGCAGCGAUGCGUUGAGCUAACCGGUACUAAUGAACCGUGAGGCUUAACCUU
rnacentral:rRNA from 1 species